UACGGAGGGUGCGAGCGUUGUUCGGAAUCAUUGGGCGUAAAGCGCGUGUAGGCGGCUUGGCAAGUCGGGUGUGAAAUCCCGGGGCCCAACCCCGGAACUGCAUUCGAAACUGCCUCGCUAGAGUCCCGGAGAGGAAGGCGGAAUUCCCGGUGUAGAGGUGAAAUUCGUAGAGAUCGGGAGGAACACCAGCGGCGAAGGCGGCCUUCUGGACGGUGUCUGACGCUGAGACGCGAAAGCGUGGGGAGCAAACAGG
rnacentral:rRNA from 1 species